ACCCUCUCAGAGUUGCAGCUGGAGAGUUUCCAGUACUCUACCAGUCUCGACUAUGAGAGGGAAAGUCAAGCAGAGGCCUACCAAUUCCAUUCUUGGCUUGGCCAGUGGCUAGCGAGGGGAGGGCAACCUGCUACAAGC